rnacentral:lncRNA from 1 species
AUGUAUGGAAGCAUCCUGGGAGGUGGAACUGUGUGGAGCCCAGGAUCAUAUUCAUUAGGGCACAACGUAGCAAAACAUUUUGCAACAGAAAAGAAACAUGAACAUACUUCUAAAGCAAAUGUUGGAAGAAUCUCUACGAUGGAUUUUCACACAUACUCAAGUGAACCCCACUGUCCUCCCCUCCCCAGGUGCCCCCCCUCUGUGGACCCCCCUAGCGUGACCCCCUGUGGCUGGUUCAGAAGGAAUCCCCUCCACCCUGCACCGAGGACCAGUUACGACCUGCGGGAGCGCAUCUGCAUCGGCAGUAUGACGACCAUGGAAACAGCUGUGUACCAGAAGGUGCCCACUGACGACGCUGAGGCUGAGAUGCUGGCUAGCGCUGAUCUGGACGACAUGAAAAGUCACCGAUUCGAGGACAACCCUGGAGUGAGGCGUCACCUGGUGAAGAAGUCAUCUCGAUGCCAGCUCCUCCAGACCACCAACAGCUCUUCGCAACUGUCCAGCGUGAAGAAGAAGAGGACGGCUGACAAGAAGACCCAUGAGGUGUUUGUGGAACUCAAUGAGCUGAUAGUGGAUAAGAACCAGGAAAUGCGCUGGAAGGAGACGGCCCGUUGGAUCAAGUUUGAGGAGGACGUGGAGGAGGAGACAGACCGCUGGGGAAAACCCCACGUGGCUUCGCUUUCCUUCCGUAGCCUGCUGGAGCUCCGCAGGACCAUCACACAUGGUGCCGUCCUUUUGGACCUGGAGCAGACCACCUUGCCUGGUAUUGCUCACCUGGUGGUGGAGACCAUGAUCAUCUCAGACCAGAUCAGAGCGGAGGACCGUGCCAACGUGCUCCGCGCCCUGCUGCUCAAACACCACCACCCCAACGACGAAAAGGAGGGCCUCUUCCAUCGCAACCACUCUAGUAACAGCCUUCAAGGCAGCUUCUACCACAACCACGUUCCCAACACUGCGCUGCCCCUUGUGGCCGAUGACCAUGCAGUAGUCCACCACCACCACCUUGACAACAAAGCACCAGACCAUGACAAAGAGGUGUUUGUGAGCUUGUUUAUGAGUGGCGUGGGCAAAGUGUUGCUUUUUUGUUUACAUUGUUUCCAAAGAUCCUCAACUGUGUGUCAUUCCUCAGGGUGUGUGGAGUUCUUGGAGCAGCCGGCCAUGGCCUUCAUCAGGCUGAGUGAGGCAGUGCUGCUGGAGUCGGUCCUGGAGGUGCCGGUGCCGGUCCGUUUCCUCUUUGCCCUGCUCGGCCCCGCUCAGUCCAACAUGGACUAUCACGAGAUCGGACGCUCCUUCUCCACCCUGAUGUCUGACAAGAACUUCCACGAGGUGGCUUACUUCGCGGACGACCGGCAGGACCUGCUGAACGGCAUCAAUGAGUUCCUGGACUGCAGCAUCGUUAUCCCCCCGUCGGACGUGGAGGGCAAGGACCUGCUAAAGACGGUAGCCUCCUUCCAGAAGCAGAUGCUGCGCAAGAGGAAGGAGAGAGAGAACAUUAAGAAGGGCCUGACCCAUGCCACCCCCGGGACAGACCAGGAGACCAAAGAGGAGGACCAGGAGGUGGACCCCAUGAAGCGGUCGGGCAUCCCCUUCGGAGGCCUCAUCCAUGACAUCAGGCGACGCUACCCACGCUACGCCAGUGACAUCAAGGACGCCUUGGACUCACAGUGCAUUGCAGCCGUCAUCUUCAUCUACUUCGCAGCCCUCUCGCCCACCAUCACCUUCGGAGGACUGCUGGGAGAGAAAACAGAGGGCAUGAUGGGAGUGUCUGAGCUUAUCAUCUCCACGGCGACCCUGGGGGUGCUGUUCUCGCUGUUGGCCGGACAGCCCCUGCUCAUCAUCGGAUUCUCAGGACCGCUGCUGGUGUUUGAGGAGGCCUUCUACAAGUUCUGCCAGGCCCAGGGCUUUGAGUACCUGACUGGCCGGGUGUGGAUCGGCUUCUGGCUCGUCUUCAUAGUGCUGUUGAUAGUAGCGGCUGAGGGCAGCUUCUUGGUCAAAUACAUCUCACCCUUCACCCAGGAGAUCUUCGCCUUCCUCAUCUCGCUCAUCUUCAUCUAUGAGACCUUCUCGAAGCUCAUCAAGGUAUUCCAGGAGCAUCCUUUGAUGAGAAGCUACCCGCCUGCUCUCAGCCUGCCCGGUAUGGACUUCAUCAACCCCACAGACCCCGGGGGCCCGGUCCUAAACCAACCCAACACAGCCUUGCUGUCUCUCGUCCUUAUGCUUGGCACCUUCUUUGUGGCCUUCUUCCUCAGGAAAUUGCGCAAUAGUCGCUUCCUGGGCGGGAAGGCCAGAAGAAUCAUCGGAGACUUUGGCAUCCCCAUCUCCAUCCUCUUCUCUGUACUGUUGAGUUACUCCAUCCCCGACACUUACACCCAGAAGCUAAAUGUACCAUCUGGUUUCUCGGUCACGUCUCCUGACAAGCGGGGCUGGUUGAUCAGUCCAUUCGGUGACAAGAAGCCCUUUCCCUUGUGGAUGAUGGGGGCUUCGGUGGUGCCCGCCCUCCUUGUCUUCAUCCUCAUCUUCAUGGAGACACAGAUCACCUCACUAAUCGUCAGCAAGAAGGAGCGUCGCCUGGUCAAGGGAUCGGGCUUCCACCUGGACCUGCUGCUCAUUGUCACACUGGGCGCCAUGUGCCCUCUGUUAGGCCUGCCCUGGCUCACAGCCGCCACUGUGCGCUCUGUCACGCAUGUCAACGCCCUUACUGUCAUGAGCAAGGCCACGGCACCUGGCGAGAAGCCUAUGAUCCAGGAGGUGAAGGAGCAGCGGGUGACUGGCCUGGUAGUUGCCGUGCUCGUGGGUAUGUCUAUCGUGAUGACGGACGUGCUCCGUAACAUCCCAUUGGCCGUGCUGUUCGGGAUCUUCCUCUACAUGGGCGUCACGUCGAUCACCGGCAUCCAGCUCUACGAGCGCAUCACACUCAUGUUCACGCCCGCCAAGCACCACCCCGACCACAUAUACGUGACCAAGGUGAAGACAUGGCGUAUGAAUAUGUUCACCAUCAUCCAGCUGGCCUGCAUCGUGCUACUGUGGGUGGUCAAGUCGACCGUGGCCUCACUCGCCUUCCCCUUCAUCCUCAUCCUGACCGUGCCGCUCCGCCGCCUCAUCCUCUCCCGGAUCUUUGAGGAGCGUGAGCUUCAGGCGGACUCCCCCAACUUUGACGAGGAUGGUCGGGACGAGUAUAAUGAGAUUCACAUGCUUGUGUAG